rnacentral:rRNA from 1 species
UACGUAGGGUGCGAGCGUUGUCCGGAAUUAUUGGGCGUAAAGAGCUCGUAGGCGGUCUGUCGCGUCGAUCGUGAAAACUUGGGGCUUAACCCUGAGCUUGCGGUCGAUACGGGCAUGACUGGAGUUCGGCAGGGGGAGACUGGAAUUCCUGGUGUAGCGGUGAAAAUGCGCAGAUAUCAGGAGGAACACCGGUGGCGAAGGCGGGUCUCUGGGCCGAUACUGACGCUGAGGAGCGAAAGCGUGGGGAGCGAACAGG